CUGGAGUCUUCUGGCUUUUAAUCCAUUCCUUUUUCAGUGCAGUCUGUUAAGCCUCUCAGUACCUGUGAGACUGGUGAGAUUGAUGAUACUGAGAGCUCUGCUGAGAUGAUGUGGAAUAGCCCAUUGUACUCUGGGACUGAGAAGAUCCCUGAAUGUUGCUUUGGUAACUCAGGCGUGAGCUGGAGUGCUGAUAAUCUGAAGGCAUGACAGGCCCGCCUGAGUUAGCGCCUGAAGGCCCUAUGCGUGGUUUCUUGUUUGGAGGCACCUGGUUGAGGCUGGAGUCCUGGCUGUGCUGGAGUCCUCCACCCGCGCCCCCUCCGCCCGCACCCGUGCCCCCGGCCGUCCCGUUGGUUUGGGUGCUGUUCUGCUGCUGCUGCUGCGGUUGCUGCGGCGCGGCCUGCGGCUGCUGCUGAGGUGCUGUUUGCUGCUGAUGUUGGUUCUGCUGCUGCUGAUUCUUAUCCCCUUUCUCUUCAGGUUCAUCUUCAUUGAGGAAUUCUCGUUUGGGAUAUGGAAUCUGAC
rnacentral:lncRNA from 1 species